UAAGCCUAAAUACUUCUUGGUGACCGAUAGUGUAUCAGUACCGUGAGGGAAUGGUGAAAAGUACCCCGGGAGGGGAGUGAAAUAGUACCUGAAACCGUGCGCCUACAAGCGGUCGGAGCCUGUUAAAGGGUGACGGCGUGCCUUUUGCAUAAUGAGCCUACGAGUUACUCCUCACUGGCAAGGUUAAGUCUGUUGACGGACGAAGCCGUAGCGAAAGCGAGUCUGAAUAGGGCGAAAGUCAGUGGGGGUAGACGCGAAACUUUGUGAUCUACCCAUGACCAGGAUGAAGUGUCAGUAACA
rnacentral:rRNA from 1 species